UACGUAGGGGGCGAGCGUUGUCCGGAAUUACUGGGCGUAAAGGGUGCGUAGGCGGCCUGUUGUGUCAGAUGUGAAAUAUCCGUGCUUAACAUGGAGGGUGCAUUUGAAACUGGCGGGCUUGAGUGUUGGAGAGGCAAGUGGAAUUCCCGGUGUAGCGGUGAAAUGCGUAGAGAUCGGGAGGAACACCAGUGGCGAAGGCGACUUGCUGGACAACAACUGACGCUGAUGCA
rnacentral:rRNA from 1 species